CGACGUCGUCGCCGGGCAGGCGGAGCGGCGCGAGGCCGGCGCCGCGCGGGGCACGCCGAUCCGCGUCCGCCCGGUUCCGGCCGAGGGCCUCGUC
rnacentral:tRNA from 1 species